rnacentral:tRNA from 1 species
CAACAAAUAGUUUAUUUAAAAUAUAAUUUUUGGGUAAUUAUGAAAAAGUUAAUUUUUUUUGUUGA